CACCAAAUGAAGCAAGGGCCUCAGAACGAGCACGCUCAAAUGACUCCUUCAAGGUAUCGGCAGAACGAACGACACGCAUACCACGGCCACCACCACCCAUGGCAGCCUUGAUGAUAACGGGGAGGCCAUAUUCCUUAACAAAAGCCUCAGCUUCUUCAUAGUGUUCGACGGGACCUGGAGUACCAGGAACGACUGGGACACCACAGCGAAUGGCGAUUGCACGAGCUUUCGUUUUGUCACCAAGAGAGUCAAUGACUUCGGGGGAGGGGCCUACAAAUUGCAUGCCAGCUUCGUUUACCUUUCUGGCAAAUUCGGCGUUUUCGGAAAGGAAACCGUAUCCUGGAUGAACCAAGUUGGCACCGGUGCGUUUGGCGAUGCUGACGAUUUCGUCAAUAGCCAGAUAAGCUCCUACUG